ensembl:snRNA U6 U6 spliceosomal RNA
GUCUUCUUUGGAGAAAAAUUAGAAUAAUACAGAGAAGAUUAGCAUGGCCCCUGCACAGAUCCCUUUUUUUUUUUUUUUUUUUUUUU